ACUCAAAGGAAUAGACGGGGGCCCGCACAAGCGGUGGAGCAUGUGGUUCAAUUCGACGCAACGCGAAGAACCUUACCUGGGUUUGAACUGUAGGUGACUGCCCUGGAAACAGGGCUUUUCUUCGGAACGCCUGCAGAGGUGCUGCAUGGCUGUCGUCAGCUCGUGUCGUGAGAUGUUGGGUUAAGUCCCGCAACGAGCGCAACCCUUGUUCCUAGUUGCCAUCGGGUCAUGCCGGGCACUCUAGGGAAACUGCCCCGGAAAACGGGGAGGAAGGUGGGGAUGACGUCAAGUCAUCAUGGCCUUUAUGCCCAGGGCUACACACGUGCUACAAUGGGCGGUACAAAGGGUCGCUAACCUGCGAGGGGGAGCCAAUCCCAAAAAGCCGCUCUCAGUUCGGAUUGCAGUCUGCAACUCGACUGCAUGAAGUUGGAAUCGCUAGUAAUCGCGGAUCAGCACGCCGCGGUGAAUACGUUCCCGGGCCUUGCACACACCGCCCGU
rnacentral:rRNA from 1 species